rnacentral:rRNA from 1 species
AUUGAACGCUGGCGGAAUGCUUUACACAUGCAAGUCGAACGGCAGCACGGGGGCAACCCUGGUGGCGAGUGGCGAACGGGUGAGUAUUACAUCGGAACGUGCCCAGUCAUGGGGGAUAACGUAGCGAAAGUUACGCUAAUACCGCAUACGAUCUACGGAUGAAAGCGGGGGACCGUAAGGCCUCGCGCGAUUGGAGCGGCCGAUGUCAGAUUAGGUAGUUGGUGAGGUAAAGGCUCACCAAGCCGACGAUCUGUAGCUGGUCUGAGAGGACGACCAGCCACACUGGGACUGAGACACGGCCCAGACUCCUACGGGAGGCAGCAGUGGGGAAUUUUGGACAAUGGGCGCAAACCUGAUCCAGCCAUUCCGCGUGCAGGACGAAGGCCUUCGGGUUGUAAACUGCUUUUGUACGGAACGAAAAGGCUCUGGUUAAUACCUGGGGCUCAUGACGGUACCGUAAGAAUAAGCACCGGCUAACUACGUGCCAGCAGCCGCCGUAA